GCCCAGACUCCUACGGGUGGCAUCAGUGGGGAAUAUUGGACGCAAUGGGCGCAAGCCUGAUCCAGCCACGCCGCGUGAGGGAUGAAGGCCUUCGGGUUGUAAACCUCUUUCAGUAGGGACGAAGCGCAAGUGACGGUACCUACAGAAGAAGCACCGGCCAACUACG
rnacentral:rRNA from 1 species